CAACCCUCAAGCCCAGCUUGGUGUUGGGGAUCGGCCCGCCCCUAGCGGCGCGCCGGCCCCGAAAUCUAGUGGCGGUCUCGCUGUAGCCUCCUCUGCGUAGUAGCAAUAUCUCGCACUGGAACGCGGCAAGGCCACGCCGUUAAACCCCCCACUUCUGAAA
rnacentral:misc_RNA from 1 species